CGAAAACGGGAAGUUGAUUGAGUGAAAGUGCUGCUUAACGGAGGAAUUUGAAAACUUUAAACUGGUACUAUGAAAAGGCUCCGGUGCCGGAAAACAACGAUGAAGAUUUGGAUGUUAUUGUUUCGGGUUUUGUAAUUUAGAUCGGGCAGCUCCCUAAGUCUCUCAAAGGUGGUACGCCGAUUUCUUCCCAUCCGAGAAUUUCAAGCAGUAGCGGGUGGAGAAGCACUUCUACCAUGCAACAUAGCUAUUCCAAAGGAGAGGAACAUACUAUCUCUUAUUCUUUGGUACAGAGAAGCUCCCAAAUCUCCCAUCUAUACCCUAGAUUUUCGCAAGGGCCUACCAUCCGAAGCAAAGCACUUUCCUGGCAAAACAUUGGUUGGACGGGCUCACUUCAAAAUCACAGAAUAUCCUCCUACAUUAAAAAUUAAACCAGUUCAGGUUGAAGACGAAGGUAUAUAUAAGUGCAGAAUAGAGUACAAAAGAUCAAGAACUGUAACCAGACCAGUAAAACUUAUCAUCAUUGGUUGGAUGUAUUUAUACACACUACUCGUCAUUUAAAAGUUUGGACCCUUCUUCAUUCAUAUACAAGAUGUCAGAAAGGAUGGAUGACUGGAACCCACCUGAAUCAUGGAAGAAAAUAAGUUGCAUCAUAAUGAUUCGUGCCAGCCAUCAAAAUAAGGAUAUUAUGACUGCUGCCCAAUGCUCCCUGAAUGCGGUAAAAACAAUCAGACAUAAACUAGAGACUUGCAAUGGUGACUAUUAGGAUGUAGCAAGAAGAAAGUUUCCUAGCAGACAUCUGAUUGCUUUCGUACAGCAUAAUUCCUCGCAAAUCUGCAGGAACAGGUGUUGAAGAACCCUGACAUUGGAAUUCGGGCUUUGUCACGUGAAAUGAAUGUUGCAGCCUCUACUAUGAAGUUUGCACUCAAUAAAGACCUUCGCUAUUGCUUAUACAAGCGGAUUUUCUUUUUCCUUACGAAACUGUCAAAUUUAUCCUGAACACCCUGUAUUUGCUUGGAAGGCCAAAUUAGGAGAUAUUUAGUGGAAUCGAUUUACUUAAGAUGGUAUUUCAGUGCUGAAAGAAACUCUGCUGUAUGAGGAAUGUGACAGAUGAUUUUUUGCCGUUUUGCCGAUAGGCGAUCUACACGGUAGAUAAAAAACCGAUUUGACCUUAUCACGGCGAUGAUAUGCUAGUGUCAGUCUUUCGAACUACCGAUUGUAUACCUGCGUGAAGGUGACGUAAUGCAUUUGACCUCUUAUCUUUUACUAUAGUGUUAGGAAAAAAAAAUGUCGUUAUGUUUGUACGCCGCCAAAUCAAAAAUGGGUCAUAUAUUGCGCUGAUCUUGCGCAGUAUCGAUACUAAGCAGCGUCGUUGUAUGAUUGUAAAUCUUUGAUAUAGUAAAAGAAAAUUCUACUCUUUAA